CAUGAAGUCGGAAUUGCUAGGUAAUCGCGGAUCAGCAUGCCGCGGUGAAUACGUUCCCGGGCCUUGUACACACCGCCCGUCACACCAUGGGAGCCGGUAAUACCCGAAGUCAGUAGUCCAACCUCGUGAGGACGCUGCCGAAGGUAGGAUUGGCGACUGGGGUGAAGUCGUAACAAGGUAAC
rnacentral:rRNA from 1 species